UACUCGUGCGUGAGGGGUGAGGACCAGUGCUACCAAUUAGGAGGGUUGCAAAGUGGGUAAAAUAGCAAUUCCGGGGGAAUGGCAAGUCGUGGCCUUAGGGAAGAAGAAAAAUCAAUUGUGGACAGUGAGCGAGAGACACGUGCUAUUGCGGGAAAAAAACAAAAAAAGAGACAAAAUAAGCGGAAGACAAUAUUCAAACACCGGAGUGACGACAGGAGGGUUGGGAUAUACACCAGCGAGGCUUCAUAGGCAGAGGAGUAGCAGUAACUGCGGGCGUUCUGGGAAGUGCGCUGUGCGCGGGUCAGCACCGACCGGCAGUACUGGGUCUUAGGCCGGACCUCGGCCCUAGCGGAAGUCAGGCCAAUUUCCAUGCAACUGGAAGUCUGGGCUAAGUACCCUUCAACAUUAAAAUACUAAAUAUUCACACACAUUCCGCUCAAACAUAGAACACAAAAUUUUAUAUACACCACACACUCCUUUAUAUACACUCCAUACAUGUUCACAUACACCAUAUUCAAACACACACCGAAUUUCCAUAGCACUCAGACUCACAUUCAUCCCAUAGCCACAUAAUAUAAAAUACAAAACAAAAGCAACACCCAAACAUUUAACCAUAUUGUAAUACACACACGCCCAUAGCCACAUAAUGUAAAAUACAAAACAAAAAAAACGACACACAAAACAAUUAACAAUUUUCUGUUACACACAUAGCCCAAACCAUUCACAACAUAAUAUAAAACAUUAAACAGAAACACAACACCAAACAAGUAACCAUAUUGUAAACAAAAAUUCAAAUGUAUACUUAAGAAAAAAGAACAUAAAAAAAAAAAAAGAAAAGUAAAAGAAAAUGUAUAAAGUCUAAUAUAAGCAAAAGAGGUUGGAAUGUGUAUUGGAGCGGCGCAGUUUUUUUUUUGUUUAUCUCCUUGUCAUUACAUAUCAUUACACCCCUCAUAACCACAUACUCGAGUAUAGGUAGCGUAGGAGGUUCGAAAAUCGAAUAAGAUAAAUAGGCACAAAGAGCCAACAAACUGCAGCGUCCCAAAACUCAAUGGCCUAAAUACCCGAAUAUAUUUUUAUUGUAAUAAAAUUUAAAAUUUGAAAAUGAG